rnacentral:lncRNA from 1 species
UAUCUUACAAGAUUACCAGUGUAUCAGAUGUGUGUACUUGGUAUUUGAAAAAGCAAUGAAGAGAGAAGGGUCAGUAAUGCAGCAGUAGCACAAACACAGCAACAACAGGUUCAACCACAAUAACAGCAGUAGCACAAAGCCCAGGAAAUAGAUUUCAACCAGAAAAACCAGUAGAAAAAUUCCAGCAACAACAGAACAAUGAAACAGCCAAUACGAGCACCAGAUUGACCAAACUCAAACCAGAAAUCUAUAGGGAAAGAAUUUGACCCCCAGCUAUACAAACAACAAUACAAAUGACCCAAGGAUUGGAACCAAACAACUAAACUGGACCAAGCUUACUCAAAAUAAGACCAACAACUAAAUCCCAAUGAGAUAGAAACUCACAACCAAACAGAAAAACCAGGAAAGCCAAUCUGAAAAUCAGUAGUACUAAAUGCAAUCCCCAGAAGUGGUAACAUAGUUCUGACUUUCAACAGUAAAGAAAAUGCUUCUUUUUAGUUUUUAGCUCUCAAAGAUUGAUUUUCAUGUUUUGAAAAAUUAGCCUAUCUCUCACUCUUAAGUUCUGAAAUUUU